rnacentral:rRNA from 1 species
UACAGAGGUCCCGAGCGUUGUUCGGAUUCACUGGGCGUAAAGGGUGCGUAGGUGGCUGUGAAAGUUUGAUGUGAAAGCUCAGGGCUUAACCCUGAAAUGGCAUUGAAUACUACAUAGCUGGAGGUUUGGAGGGGGGACUGGAAUUCUCGGUGUAGCAGUGAAAUGCGUAGAUAUCGAGAGGAACACCAGUGGCGAAGGCGAGUCCCUGGACAACACCUGACACUGAGGCACGAAAGCCGGGGGAGCAAACCGG